GGCUGGUCCGAGUGCAGUGGUGUUUGCAACUAAUUGAUCACAACCAGUUACAGAUUUCUUUGUUCCUUCUCCACUCCCACUGCUUCACUUGACUAGCCUUUA
rnacentral:Y_RNA from 1 species